rnacentral:rRNA from 1 species
CAGUCGCCGCGGUAAUACGAAGGGUGCAAGCGUUAAUCGGAAUUACUGGGCGUAAAGCGUGCGUAGGCGGUGAGUUAAGUCUGCUGUGAAAUCCCCGGGCUCAACCUGGGAAUGGCAGUGGAUACUGGCUCGCUAGAGUGUGUCAGAGGAUGGUGGAAUUCCCGGUGUAGCGGAGAAAUGCGUAGAGAUCGGGAGGAACAUCAGUGGCGAAGGCGGCCAUCUGGGACAACACUGACGCUGAGGCACGAAAGCGUGGGGAGCAAACAGGAUUAGAUACCCGUGUAGUCCCUGUCUCUUAUAC